rnacentral:rRNA from 1 species
AGUGGCGAACGGGUGAGUAAUACAUCGGAACGUGCCCUGGAGUGGGGGAUAACCCAGCGAAAGUUGGGCUAAUACCGCAUACGAUCUUCGGAUGAAAGCGGGGGACCGCAAGGCCUCGCGCUCAAGGAGCGGCCGAUGUCGGAUUAGCUAGUUGGUGAGGUAAAGGCUUACCAAGGCGACGAUCCGUAGCUGGUUUGAGAGAACGACCAGCCACACUGAAACUGAGACACGGUCCAGACUCCUACGGGAGGCAGCAGUGGGGAAUUUUGGACAAUGGGGGCAACCCUGAUCCAGCCAUGCCGCGUGAGUGAAGAAGGCCUUCGGGUUGUAAAGCUCUUUCGGCAGGAACGAAACGGUCCGCGCCAACACUGUGGACUACUGACGGUACCUGCAGAAGAAGCACCGGCUAACUACGUGCCAGCAGCCGCUGUAAUACGUAGGGUGCGAGCGUUAAUCGGAAUUACUGGGCGUAAAGCGUGCGCAGGCGGUGGCACAAGUCAGGUGUGAAAUCCCCGGGCUUAACCUGGGAAUUGCAUUUGA